UACGUAGGUGGCGAGCGUUGUCCGGAUUUACUGGGCGUAAAGGGCGCGUAGGCGGCCUUCUAAGUCGGACGUGAAAGCCCCAGGCUUAACCUGGGAACUGCGUCCGAUACUGGAAGGCUUGGAUUCGGGAGAGGGAUGUGGAAUUCCAGGUGUAGCGGUGAAAUGCGUAGAUAUCUGGAGGAACACCGGUGGCGAAGGCGGCAUCCUGGACCGAGAUCGACGCUGAGGCGCGAAAGCUAGGGGAGCAAACGGG
rnacentral:rRNA from 1 species